rnacentral:rRNA from 1 species
UGCCAGCCGCCGCGGUAAGACGAAGGUGGCAACCGUUGUUCGGAAUCACUGGGCAUAAAGCGCACGUAGGCGGCAAGACAAGUCAGGUGUGAAAUCCCUCGGCCCAACCGAGGAACUGCGCUUGAAACUGUAUUGCUUGAGGGCGGGAGAGGAACGUGGAAUUCCUGGUGGAGCGGUGAAAUGCGUUGAUAUCAGGAGGAACACCGGCGGCGAAGGCGACGUUCUGGCCCGCUUCUGACGCUGAGGUGCGAAAGCCAGGGGAGCAAACGGGAUUAGAUA